rnacentral:lncRNA from 1 species
CCUGGAUGCCAGCCCUCUGUUUUGAGGGCUGCUCUGCACACACACACACCCUCCUCCUCCUCCUCGCUUCUGCCAACAUUCUGCAUUAGCGCCAGGAUGUCCUCUGAGGUUCGGCGUCUGAGUUUUGCUGCAAAGCAAGUUUGGGGCGUGUGUUUCAAGCAGCCUUAAUUAGGAUCCCGGCUUUUAUGAAGACGCAAAUUGGCUUCUCUGGGGUGAUGACAGCCUCUCUGAUGCGGCCCAGCCAGACAGCUGUGAAGAGUCAUCGUGCUGAAUCCCAUGGGGAGUCCUCCUCUGAAGAUGGCCGACUCGACUGGGGCCCUGGAGGUGCAUCUGAACCGGGCAGUGGGGCCGAGAAGAUAGAAAUGAAACAGCUGUGAAAGAGGCCAGGCCCAGCAUGGACAGCAUGAGUCACUCGGC